rnacentral:rRNA from 1 species
GCCCCCUGGACAAGACUGACGCUCAGGUGCGAAAGCGUGGGGAGCAAACAGGAUUAGAUACCUGGUAGUCACGCUGUAAACGAUGUCGAUUUGGAGGUUGUUCCCUUGAGGAGUGGCUUCCGGAGCUAACGCGUUAAAUCGACCGCCUGGGGAGUACGGCCGCAAGGUUAAAACUCAAAUGAAUUGACGGGGGCCCGCACAAGCGGUGGAGCAUGUGGUUUAAUUCGAUGCAACGCGAAGAACCUUACCUACUCUUGACAUCCAGAGAAUUUAGCAGAGAUGCUUUAGUGCCUUCGGGAACUCUGAGACAGGUGCUGCAUGGCUGUCGUCAGCUCGUGUUGUGAAAUGUUGGGUUAAGUCCCGCAACGAGCGCAACCCUUAUCCUUUGUUGCCAGCACAUUAUGGUGGGAACUCAAAGGAGACUGCCGGUGAUAAACCGGAGGAAGGUGGGGAUGACGUCAAGUCAUCAUGGCCCUUACGAGUAGGGCUACACACGUGCUACAAUGGCGUAUACAAAGAGAAGCGACCUCGCGAGAGCAAGCGGAACUCAUAAAGUACGUCGUAGUCCGGAUUGGAGUCUGCAACUCGACUCCAUGAAGUCGGAAUCGCUAGUAAUCGUAGAUCAGAAUGCUACGGUGAAUACGUUCCCGGGCCUUGUACACACCGCCCGUCACACCAUGGGAGUGGGUUGCAAAAGAAGUAGGUAGCUUAACCUUCGGGAGGGCGCUUACCACUUUGUGAUUCAUGACUGGGGUGAAGUCGUAACAAGGUAACCA